AAAAUAGAAACGCUUAAUUUCCAGUGGUGGGAAACGGGGGAAAACAAUAAUUGGGGUGAAUUGCAAAAGCAAGGGGCUAACUUUCGGCCCUAACCCGUCAGCUAACCUCGUAGGCGUAGAAAGAGAGGCAGC
rnacentral:sRNA from 2 species